UUGUUCUGGCGGGAGCAGAAAGGAGGGGCUGCCCUCUCUCCUUCCAGCUGCUGGAACACAGGUCACCUCAGGCUUUGCCUCAUUUCCUAGAGUCCUCUUCUCUCAGCCGUCCCUGCUAGGAGAGGCUUCCUGCUUUCCCAGAGACCGCAGAAGGGCCGGGGCCCUCUGAGUUUCAUCCCUAGUCCCCCAGCUCUCCACACCAGCUCUGCACGCGGCGCCCUGGCUGUGAAGUACUUGCAGGAACUUGGGGACUCUCCCCCCAAACUUCCGGAAACGAAGAGAGGGAGAGUCUUCGCUGUCGGUGGGAAGGACAAAAUCAGGACAUCCAAGUGCCCAUGGGAUGUAUGACCCAAGCUAGAGGCCAUGGCCCCAGAACAUGGUGCUGUCCAGAGGCGGAGGAUGUUCAGACCUGACUGAUGCACCCAAGAACUUGUGAGUAGCAGCAAAAACAACAGCUGGGGUGUGUCCACAUGUUGUCUGACCAUCUAAAGAAAAGGCUGACAACUGGGU